UACAGAGGCCUCAAGCGUUAGGCGGAAUCACUGGGCUUAAAGCGUGUGUAGGCGGAUCGUUAAGUGCCUUGUGAAAUCCCACGGCUUAACUGUGGAACGGCUGGGCAUACUGGCGGUCUUGAGCCAUCUAGGGGCGACUGGAACAAACGGUGGAGCGGUGAAAUGCGUAGAUAUCGUUUGGAACGCCAAUGGUGAAAACAGGUCGCUGGGGAUGAGCUGAUGCUGAGACACGAAAGCCAGGGGAGCAAACGGG
rnacentral:rRNA from 1 species